rnacentral:rRNA from 1 species
CGAUGCAACGCGAAAACCUUACCCACCUUUGACAUGUACGGAACCCUUUAGAGAUAGAGGGGUGCUCGAAAGAGAGCCGUAACACAGGUGCUGCAUGGCUGUCGUCAGCUCGUGUCGUGAGAUGUUGGGUUAAGUCCCGCAACGAGCGCAACCCUUGUCAUUAGUUGCUACAUUCAGUUGGGCACUCUAAUGAGACUGCCGGUGACAAGCCGGAGGAAGGUGGGGAUGACGUCAAGUCCUCAUGGCCCUUAUAGGUGGGGCUACACACGUCAUACAAUGGCUGGUACAAAGGGUUGCCAACCCGCGAGGGGGAGCCAAUCCCAUAAAGCCAGUCGUAGUCCGGAUCGUAGUCUGCAACUCGACUACGUGAAGUCGGAAUCGCUAGUAAUCGUGGAUCAGAAUGUCACGGUGAAUACGUUCCCGGGUCUU